rnacentral:rRNA from 1 species
UACGUAGGGGGGCUAGCGUUGUCCGGAUUUAUUGGGCGUAAAGAGCGUGUAGGCGGCCAGGUAGGUCUGCUGUGAAAACUCGAGGCUCAACCUCGAGACGUCGGCGGAAACCAUCUGGCUAGGGUCCGGAAGAGGAGAGUGGAAUUCCUGGUGUAGCGGUGGAAAUGCGCAGAUAUCAGGAAGAACACCCGUGGCGAAGGCGGCUCUCUGGGACGGUACUGACGCUGAGACGC